AGUGAACGCUGGCGGUAGGCCUAACACAUGCAAGUCGAACGGCAGCACAGUAAGAGCUUGCUCUUACGGGUGGCGAGUGGCGGACGGGUGAGGAAUACAUCGGAAUCUACUUUUUCGUGGGGGAUAACGUAGGGAAACUUACGCUAAUACCGCAUACGACCUACGGGUGAAAGCAGGGGAUCUUCGGACCUUGCGCGAUUGAAUGAGCGGAUGUCGGAUUAGCUAGUUGGCGGGGUAAAGGCCCACCAAGGCGACGAUCCGUAGCUGGUCUGAGAGGAUGAUCAGCCACACUGGAACUGAGACACGGUCCAGACUCCUACGGGAGGCAGCAGUGGGGAAUAUUGGACAAUGGGCGAAAGCCUGAUCCAGCCAUACCGCGUGGGUGAAGAAGGCCUUCGGGUUGUAAAGCCCUUUUGUUGGGAAAGAAAAGCAGCAGGUUAAUACCCCGCUGUUCUGACGGUACCCAAAGAAUAAGCACCGGCUAACUUCGUG
rnacentral:rRNA from 1 species